CAAUAGCGUAUAUUAAAGUUGUUGCAGUUAAAAAGCUCGUAGUUGGAUUUCUGGCUGGGCGCCGAUGUGACACAAAGUGCUCACAAGGCACCGGCCAUCCUUCUGUAAACUAGGUUAGUCUUUGAUUAGACUGCUUAGGGAUCAGAUAAUUUACCUUGAGAAAAUUAGAGUGUUUCAGGCAGGCUUAGCCGGAAUACAUUAGCAUGGAAUAAUGGAAUAGGACUAUGGUCUCGUUGUUGGUUUGAGGGAUCGCAGUAAUGAUUAAUAGGGAUAGUUGGGGGCAUUAGUAUUUAUUAGCUAGAGGUGGAAUUCUCUAAUUUAAUAAAGACUAACUUAUGCGAAAGCAUUUGCCAAGGAUGUUUNCAUUA
rnacentral:rRNA from 1 species